GCGUUCUCAUCACACCGGCAUCCGUCACUUCGACCACUGCUUACCGACCACCUACUGAGUGCCAGGCGCUAUGGUGGGCGCUCGGGCUGCAGGCCAAGCAGAGCAACGUCUCAGGCCUCAUAUGGAGCUCGCAGUCCAGUGCAAAUACCCAGAAAUGAAAUCAAAGGAUCAUUUGGUAUUUUUAACUCUCUGAGGAACCUCCCUACUGUUCUCCAGUUACAUCCCCGCCCACAGUGUGUGAGUGUUCCCUUUUCCCCACACCCUCACCAAUAAAUCUUACCCAUUCUGACAGGCAUGAGGUGGCAUCUCGUUGUGGUUUUGAUUUGCGUUUCCCUGACGAGUGAUGGUGAGUGCUUUUCAUGUGUCUGCUGGAUAGCUGGUGUCUUCUUAGGAGAAAUGUCUGUUCAGGUCCUCUGCUCAUUUUUAACCAGAUUGUUUUGGGUUUUUUGUUUUUUGGUGUUGUGUUGUAAGAGUUCUUUAUGUUUUUUUGGAUUUUAACCCCUUAUCAGAUAUAUCAUUUGCAAGUAUCUUCUCCCAAUCAGUAGUUUGCCUUCUCAUUUUGUUGAUGGUUUCCUUUGCUAUAAAACGAUUUUUGUCACAGGAGCAGUAUGUGGUCUUUGUAGAAAAACCAGAAGAUACAGAUAAGAAAAUGAAAAGCCCUAAUAUGCCGCCUUCCAGACACAAAGGCUCUGACAUCUCUGGAUAUGCUCCUACUUCUCUGAAUGCACAACACACGUUUUCUUAAUAAAAAACGAGAUAUUAGAAAUGGUAGGCAGGAUAAUAACCAAAGAUGACCAUGUCCCGAUCCCUACCUUAUGUGGCAAAGGGGUCUUUGCAGAUGUGACUGAUUUAAAGGUUUUGAGAUGGAGAGACUGUCCUGCAUUACUUGGAUAGGCCCAAAGUAAUCAUGAGGGUCUGUGUAAGAGGGACGCAAAAGGGUAAAAAUGAGAGAUAUGACAAUGGAAGCAGAGGUUGGAGUGGCUGUGUUUUGAACAGGGAAGAAGGCAGCCUCUAGAAGCUGGAAAAGGCCAAGAAGCAGAUUCUCCCCUGCAACCCUCUGGAAGGAACCAGGCCGGUGGAUAGUUCGAUUUAACCCCUAGGGCCCAUUUCCCACUUCCAAUUUUAAGAGCUGUAAAAUAAAAAAAUCUGUGGCAAUGUGUUACAGCAGCAGUAGGAAAUUAAAGCAUUAUGGAGCUCCUGUAUUUUUAAGAGUACUUGUGUAUACCCUGUAUACGCAAACAUACAGGUACACUAAUCAGUAUGUAAUACAACCUUUUAAUGACCACAUUGUGCAACUGAAUGUAUCCAGUUCGCUCAACCAGUAUCUACAGGCUGACAUUGACUGUUUUCAGGUUUUUCAGGCUUUGCAGCAUAUUUUCCUACCUGGUUACCUUCCUGGCACACCAUCCAAGAGGGUGGCUUGCCUGGUUGUGAGGUCCUUCCAACACACUGCCCACCUGGCGACCUGAAACGCUGCAGAAGUCCACUGGCUUUCCCCACACUCGCAAGUCUCCACACCCGAGUGCCAAUGAUGCCAGCCCAAUAAUGCAAAGUGCCUAGACGCCCUUUUUAAAUUUCAGCCAAUCCUCUGACAACCCCGACCCCUCCGAGGUGCCGUCCCAUUUACGUUUUGUCUUCCCCACGUGAGCCUUCCAAACAGCUCUCCCCAGGGUUGUCGGGUGACUUGACACGGGCAGAGAUGCCGAGCGGGGAGAUGGCCAGGCCCAGUAUCCUGUGGGGUGACCCGGGCAACUCCCCUCUGCCAGGGCCAUCCUCCUUGGAGGGGCGGUUCUUUGGGGAACAAGGUCCAGGAUUACUCCGGGGAAAAUGUCGGCUGAGCCAGUCCCUGCUUGUGUAGCUUGCUGGGCGCCAAAAGACCAGAGAUCAAGUCGGACCCCAACAAGGAAAGGACAGAACUACCAAGACUCCGACCACACAAGCGCACACCCAUCGCCCCAGAGCAGGGACUCCCAGAGUGCCCCGGGAAGUGGGCCGGCGGCAAGGGCGCACGCGCGGAGGGCGCACACGGAUGCCCUGACGUCAUCGGGACGCGCGGACGCCCGCGGGGCCCCGCCCCGACCCCCAGUGCAGACGGCUCCCCCCACGACCCCGUCCCCCUCCCCCAGCACCCCCGGCUCCAGCACCCAGCCCCCCAGUGUCGCUUCAAUAGCGCACGUCUCUCCCGGGCAGCAUGGCCGCAGCAGGGCCCGGCGCGAAUCCACAGUCGACCCAAGGCCGGCGCUGGGGGUGUGAGCUCAUCGCAGAGUAACUGAAAAUACAGAGAAGGAAACUGGUAGCCCCAGGACGAUGUGAAGGGAGCCCCGCGGGCACCUUGAUCACCGUUACUCACGUUCUUCCGAGCCCGGCUGCUGCCCCCAGUGGAGGUGCCACGUGAGCCACGCCAGGUGCUCAAAGCCACACGAGGGGGAUGAAACUCGCUUCAAAUGUGAGCUUACAAGACGGCCUGAAGAAAUGGCAGAGGACACGCUGGCAAACGGAAACAGGGAGCGCCAGACAAAGUCAACUGCAGAGCAAGGAACAUGCAGAGACCAAGAGGGACAUGACAAGAAGACCCAACAAGCCUCAAUGUGUAGGCACCUAACACAGGGUCUGCAAAGUACAGAAAGAAAACACUGGCAGGAUUUCAAGGGGAAUUUGACAAACUCCAGUUACACUCGGAGGUUCCAGUGCUCCUGUCUUGGGAAUUGACCAAACUGGUAGAAAAUGAGCAAGGAUAUGAAGAGGAGAACAGCAUCGACAUGAACGUGUACACAUACAGGUGUCCACACACACGGAACAUGUACACAUAUAGGUGUCCACACACACACACACACAAGCAUAUAUACGCGUGAUAUAUUUUUAUAUCUUCACCCAACACAGUAGAACACAACCCUUCAAGUGCACACGACACAUUUACCAAGAUACACUCUAAAGUCAUUGAAAGUAAUUGAAGGACAUAAUGGUAUUAAGCCAGGCAUUGUUAGCAGAAAGAGAGCAUGAAAUUCUCCCACACUUAGAAGUUAACCACUCCACUUCUAAAUAGUUCAUACAUCAAAGAGGAAGAGUCAAGGGAGAUUAGAGCAUAUUUUGAACUAAAAGUGUCCAAUUUAUGGGAUGCAUAUAAAGCAGUACUUAGAGGGAAAUUCAUAGCACUAAAUGGUGACAUUACAGAAGAAGACAGGUCCCAAAUCCAUUAACCAAGUGUCCACCUUAAGACGCUCCAUGGGGAAGGGAACUCAUAGCUCAUGAGUUCAAGCCCCAUGUUGGGCAUGAAGCCUACUAAAACAAACAAAAGCAAAACCAAAAAACCCCAACAAAUAAACCCAAAGCAAGCAGAAGGAAGGAAAUGAUAAAGAUAAGAACAGAUAUCAGAAAAGUUGAGAACAGAGAAAAAUCAGUGAAACCAAAAACUAGUUCUUUGAAAACAUCAGUAUGUUGAUAAAUCUCUAGCAGACAGAAAGAAUAAAGGAAGACAUAAUUCACCAAUAUUAGGAAAGAGAGCAUAUCACUACCAUCCACAGAAACAUAAAAAGGGAAACUACAAACGACUGCACACACAUUAAUUUGACAACUUAGAUGAAAUGAAGCAAUUCUUCAAAACCACACGCUUGCAAAACUCACUCAAGACGAGUUAGGUAACUGGGAUAGUCCUCACAAUGUGUGUGUCUUUUUCCACAUCACCCAGGAAUUAACUCCAUUCUCACAGACAGUGACCAGGUGUCCCACCAAAGUAACCCAGUUCUGACUCUACCUGCCUGAAGAAAGCACCACAGGUGAAGGACUCAGUCCCACAAGCCCGCCCCCAGUUCAGACGCCAGUCCAGGUUGUCUCCUGUGCUUCUGACUCACCAGCUAUUAAUUGGUUUCCAUGACCCCCUCCUCUGGUUCUGUUAAUUUGCUAGAGCAGCUCACAGAACUUGGAAGACAAGUUGACUUACUAGACUGCAGGUCUAUUACAAAGAAUAUUAAAGGAUAUGAAUGAACGGCCAGAUGUAGAGAUACAUAGGGUGAGGUGUGCAAGGGUCCCUGGACCCUUCUGCACGUGAGUCACCAACCUGGAAGCCCUCAGGACCCCCUCCUUUUGCGUUUUUAUGGAGGCUCCAAACCCUCUAAUCAUAGUUGGCUCCCCCUGGCACCCAGCCCCCAUCCUUAGGGCUCUUCCAAAAGUCUCCUCAUGGACACAAACCCAGUUGUGGUGUAAAGGGGCUGUUUAUGCGGAACAGGACACCCACUUCACCCUCAUGGCUCCGAAGGGACUUCAGGAACUGAGGAUGGGAGACCAACUGUUGUAACAAAAGGUGUUCCCUUUUCUCUUAGAGACUCCAAGAGUUUUGUGAGCUGUGAGUGCCAGGAUCCUGGAUGAAGACCAAAAUACAUAUUUGCUGUAAAGCACAGUGUCAUAGUCCCAUAACCAUUUAAAAAAUUGAAAAUGUAGUUACCCCUCCUGAAAAACCUCCAGGCCCCGAUGGCUUCAAUGACAAAUUCUACCAGACACUUAAAGAAAUAACACCAAUUACAUUCAUUCUCUUCCAGAAAAAUAAAACAGGAGGGAAUAUAUCCCAACUUAUGAGGACAGCAUUACCCUGAUAUUCAUACCUAAGAGUCCAAAAGAAAGUAAAAGGAAGGGAGGGUGGGAGAGAGGGAGAGAUGGAAGGAAGGAAGGAAGGAAGGAAGGAAGGAAGGAAGGAAGGAAGGAGGGAAGGA